UCAGGCCUAACACAUGCAAGUCGUACGAGAGUUUUUAACUCUAGUGGCGGACGGGUGAGUAACACGUGAGAAUUUGCCUUUAGGAGGGGGACAACAAUUGGAAACGAAUGCUAAUACCCCAUAUGCUUUAGAGUGAAAUGGAUUUUAUCCGCCUAGAGAGAAGCUCGCGGCUGAUUAGCUUGUUGGUAAGGUAAGAGCUUACCAAGGCGACGAUCAGUAUCUGGUUUGAGAGGACGAUCAGACACACUGGAACUGAGACACGGUCCAGACUCCUACGGGAGGCAGCAGUGGGGAAUUUUCCGCAAAGGGCGAAAGCCUGACGGAGCAA
rnacentral:rRNA from 1 species